GUUCCCCCACACCACCAAAUGUUCCACUUACCCCUUUCCCUGUGGGGAGCCCCUUGUCAGUCUGAGCCAGUUGCCUUCUAGCUCUCAUGAAGCACUCCUUCUGUCCCUUCCCGUGCAUACUCUCCGGAUUGAGUUCACUAUUUUCUGCAGGCGUUCAGCUGCCGCUAACAGGGAAGCUGCUGGGGAAGCCUCAGUUCUGAGCCCCUGAGAGGCCUGGCUGCAGGCAGGGUUUGUUCUAGUGGCUCAGGUCCUGUGAUUUUCUCAACAGAGUUGCCCUUAGUUUUGGGUUCAUCCUUAGGACAAUUUCUCUCAUUAGUGGUGAGAUGUCCAGGUAGCAGCUGGAGACUUCAGUUUCAUUCUACCCGUCUGGGGAAAAGUGAGAUGUCUCUUCUGGGCAGUGCCUUGCAGUAGGGAAACUUCUUUUCUAGAAAUUGCCUACCAGACCUCUUUGUGUCUCAUUGGUCAGGUCAUCUCACACAUCCAUACCUGAACCAAUUCCUGUGGCUGGUGGGUGUGCUGUGAUUUGAUUGACAGACUUGCCUGAGUCUCUGAACCAGUACUCUGUAUGGGUAAAGGAAUCCAGGCUUAUGGGUGGAUGUGCAGUGAGUUCAGGUUCUAUGAUAAAGCAGCAGCCAAUAGUGUGGCUAAAUUCUGAUGCCUCCCCCCCCCCCCCCCCCCCCCCCGCCCAUGAGGGAUUGAACCCAGAGGUGCUCAACCACUGAGCCACAUCCCCAGCCCUUUUUAUUUUUUUGAGACAGGGUCUCACUAAGUUGCUUCAAGCUUUGCUGUAUUGCUGAGGCUCGCCUUGAACUCGAGAUUCUCCUGCCUCAGCCUCCCAUCCACUGGGAUUACCAUCAUGCCUGGCUAGAAAAAUAUACCUUAAAAUAAAAAAAACCACGACGAUUCUUAUAAUCAGUUCUUCUAUUUAGCUUUUUCCUGGACAGCCUAGUCAUUAAAGUGGACAAAGGUAAAUGCCAUAAUCUUGCAUAGGUAUAUUCAAUAGUGUAGAGAUGUCAGUUUUUCCUAAAUUGAUCUAGAAAUGCAUUAGAGUUCCAAUCAAGCAGAUUUUCAUGACUUUGACAAGCUAAUUCUAAAAUUUGAAUGGAUAAGCAAAGGACUACAAAUCGUCAAGAAGAUCUUUUAGGAAGAAGAACAAGUUCUAGAACCUUCUACUACUCGGUAUCAACACAUAUGGUAGAGUUACAUUAAUUAUUGUGUUAGCUUUUCAGCCCCGUGACUAAAAUAUCUGACAGGAACAACUUAGAGGAAGGAAACUUUCUUUUGGGCUCACUGUUUCAGAGGUUCAGUUCAUGGUCCACUGACUUCAUUGUUCUGAUCCUGAGUGAAGCAGAACAUCAUGGUGAGCG
rnacentral:lncRNA from 1 species